AUAUGUUGUGCCCGCGAAGGUGCUCGACCCCGGUCGGGCCCGAGAGGGAAUCCGGUGAGAAUCCGGAGCUGCCCCGCAGCGGUAAGCGAGAACGACCGCCACAUCAGAGGCACUGGGACGCCCGUCCUGGGAAGCCGUGGCCAGUAGGUUGGACCGACGUCGAGGUCCAGCGCUCGCAAGUCCGAAUACCUGCCUUCGCCCGGCGCCGGGA
rnacentral:ncRNA from 2 species